AGAAGCUUCAGGUCGAGCUCUUGAUAAUUAUUGUUUCUCUUCUUUCUGACAAUCAGCAUCUCACUUUGACCACAUCUCCACUGCUUCAGAUCCCUGAAACAGUGUUAGUUUGUCACUAGUUUUGAUCGGUUGGUAUUUUAGUUUGGUGGUGAAGUUCAAAUACUCUCAAGAAAGAAAGACUGAAACAGGGGGAAACAGGGGGAAUUGAUCGGAUUACUCAGCUGGUGUUUGAGAGAUAUUUGUGUUGAUAACGUGUUAUAAAACUAGGAAAAUUUAGAGGGAAUUUGGAGGAAGAGAAUAACCAUAAAAAUUGCUCUUCUAAAGCUUAUCUUUUCAUUCUCUUAAUGCCUUGUAUUUAUAGGCAUAGAAAAUGCACUAUUCACCACUAUUUUACAAAUACAUUGUGGGGUGAGUCAUAUAUUAGGUAUGGAGGGGUGAGUCAUUUAUUAGGUAGCAGGUAUUAUGGCGACAUCCACUAAAACAUGGAUUUACAACAUAAUGUACAAGGAAAAACAGAUUACCCAUUUCUUGUAAACAGUACAAAUCGCAUUUA